CCACGUAGUGCAGCGAAAGGUUCCUUGCGAAAACGAAGCCCCGAAGGGACAGAAUAAUCUGCUGGGUCUCCUGUGAGGACAACGUUGAGGCAGCCUGCCCUACUGCAUCAUCACUGCCUUCGCUAUCUGAUGCAAGCACGGUCGCGACGCUCGCCUCGGUUAGAAACAC
rnacentral:lncRNA from 1 species